GAUGAAGAACGCAGCGAAAUGUGAUAAGUAAUGUGAAUUGCAGAAUUCAGUGAAUCAUCGAGUUUUUGAACGCAUAUUGCGCCCUCUGGUAUUCCGGGGGGCAUGCCUGUUCGAGCGUCAUUAAAUAACCCUCAAGCAUAGCUUGGUGUUGGGCUUUUUUACGUCCUUGACUGGGAUGGGCCUAAAAAUUAGUGGCGAUGGCUUUUUUACUUUCAAGCGUAGUAAAUCUCGUCUUGCUAAAGAGGAAAAAGAUUUUUUUUCUGCCAAAAAUUUUAACAUUUAAAGUUGACCUCGGAUCAGGUAGGAUUACCCGCUGAACUUAAGCAUAUCAAUAAGCGGAGGA
rnacentral:misc_RNA from 1 species